GGCGUGGUGGCAGAGUGGUUAAUGCGUAUGACUCGAAUUCACUAAUUUUCAACAGGAGCGCAGGUUCGAAUCCUGCCUACGUCG
rnacentral:tRNA from 1 species